AUGAUGCACCGCCGCCCACCAUCUUUCCCCACCGACUGCCUGCUUUGCCACCGCCCCACCUUCUCCCCCGGAUGCAACAUCUUCCCCACCGAUGUAGCACAUCUGAAACGAAUGAGCACAGCACCUCCUCUCCCGGAUUCUGUCGCAUCCCGUGGUCACCGCCCUCGUCUACCUCGGCGCCGCGCUUCCCCACCGAUGACCUCAAUGCCCAUCUCGCCCACCGGCGCCGCCCCCACCAACCUUCUCUCUCUCUUCCCUUGGCCGGUGCACGCUUGUGGAGCAAGAUUCGCGACGCGCCACAUCCGCUCCAUCGUCGGCGGUGACUGCUCGUCAAUGGUCGUGGUCCGGAAGCCCAGCUUCGCCUGGGCGCGACGGAUCUGCGCAAGGGCCGCGCUGGGUGAGGAGCCCCCAUGCUCGGCCGCCACUUGGUUCACUCCUCUUCUUUCGACCGCCGGGAGAGGAGCUCGUGGUGGUGAUGCUACCGGAUCCGCAAUGGAGGUUCUUGAGGUCGCGCGCAGCAACAGGAGGCCGAAAUGUUUUGUUGUGGAGACCACGGAUGGGACUAUCGCAGUUGCUUCUGCGUUUCGUGGGCAUCUAGAAGGGAUCACAAGUUCUUGUCAAAAGCGGUAG
rnacentral:rRNA from 1 species